rnacentral:rRNA from 1 species
GUGGAUUAGAUACCCCGGUAGUCCACGCCCUAAACGAUGUCUACUAGUUGUCGGAGGGUAACUCCUUCGGUAACGCAGCUAACGCGUGAAGUAGACCGCCUGGGGAGUACGGUCGCAAGAUUAAAACUCAAAGGAAUUGACGGGGACCCGCACAAGCGGUGGAUGAUGUGGAUUAAUUCGAUGCAACGCGAAAAACCUUACCUACCCUUGACAUGCCACUAACGAAGCAGAGAUGCAUUAGGUGCCCGAAAGGGAAAGUGGACACAGGUGCUGCACGGCCGUCGCCAACU